CUAUUUUUAAAGGACCACGUCUUAUUCUUUGUCUCCUGAAAGCACAGCCCAGAACACAGGAGACGCUCCACCAAUAUUUGUGCACUGAAUAAAGGAAUGAAGGAAACCUUCAGGCCUUCCCUCCUCAGAAGAAUCCUAAAAGGAACUUGAUUCAGGGAAAGACUUCAACUCAAAGGGGCUGGUAGGCCAUUUUAAAUGGAACACAUGGAAGGCCAGCUUCAAAGGUAUUGCCUACCUGAACCUGCCUUGUCCCAAAGGACACACUUCAGUCUGGGGAGAGUUUAAGCUUGUAGACAUAUCCAUUUUCAUUUAAGGAAUAUGAAGAUCAGGAAGGCAAAAUAUAGAGAGGAAAAACUGAGAGAUGAUCAGAAAUUCAGACGCAUUCUGGAAUGAGCACCCUUGACCAUACCAAGAACAAAAACUCUAUAAAAAUGUGAAGUCUUGUUAUUAUUCGUUCAUGUUCUACGUGGGAUCCACCCAAGACAUUGAAAACUGUACAGAACAGGGUGAAAUUGAAUCAGAUCAUUCUGUACUCCUAACACGGUCCACCCCAUGAGAGACUUGCAGCAGAAUUAAUGACACUGUAUAUUUUCCUCUACUAACAACAACAACAACAACAACAAUCUAGGAAAAUCAAAGGCAGCCUGACAUGGAAAAUAACACAAAAUGAAUAUUUGGAUUACAAAUAGUAUGAUGGGAAGAACACACUGCCAAAAGUCCACCUAAUAUGUUGAAAUUACUGUUUCUAGCACAUAUAAGAUUUGCUGCCAAUUUGUACUGACUUCUGAAAAAUACUUUAUCCAUUGUCUUCUUACAUCAGAAUCAACUCCCUAAAUUCUUCAGCACUGGCUUUGUAAACUGGUUUCUGGUCUUUGUUUCUGUCAACUUACCUAUAAAAGGAUACAAAAACUGAAGAACAGAGAGGAGCAGAUACCCUGGAAAGCCGAAGGUUUUAUUGACCAAAGACUGACCACUCAUUCUGGGAGAAAGCAACUGCUAUGUCAUGAGGAAAUUGAAACCUAUGGAGAAAGGUUUUUCACCUAUGAAGAAAGGCCCACAUGGUGAGAAAGUAAAGCCUCUUCCCAAUACCAAGUGAGUGAGUUAUACUAAAAAGGGAUCCUCCAGCCCCAAUCAAGUUUUCAUGUGACUGCAGCCCCUGUCAGCAUCCUAACUGCAACCUCAUAAAAGACCCUAGCAAUGGCCGGGUGUGGUGGCUCAUGCCUGUAAUCCCAGCACUUUGAGAGGCUGAGGCAGGUGGGUCAGCUGAGGUCAGGAGUUCAAGAUUAGCCUAGCCAACAUGGUGAAAACCCAUCUCUACUGAAAAUACAAAACAUUAGCUGGGUGCGGUGGCAUACACCUGUAGUCCCAGCUACUCGGGAGGUUGAGGCAGAAGAAUCCCCAGAACCCAGGAGGCAGAGGUUGCAAUGAGCCGAGAUCGUGCCAGUGUACUCCACCCUGGGUGACGGAGUGAGACUCUGUCUCAAAACAAAAAGGACCCUAGCAAGGACCCCUUAACCAAACUGCUCCCAAAGCCUUGGCCCACAAAAAUGUGAGAUAAUAAUUUAUUUUUUUAGGCCACUAGGUUUUGGCAUUAUUUGUUUUACACCAAUAGAUAACUGA